AUUCACUUCGGCAGCACUGACACUGAAAUUGAAAUGACACAGAGAAGAUUAGCAUGGCCCCUUGUGCAAGGAUGGCACUCAAAUUCAAGAAGAAAUCACAUGGGAA